AUGCAAGAUUAACCUGCCUGAUACUGGAAGGUUAUCCUGAGAUAUGAGGAAUUCACCAGACAGCCAAAGGGUUGUAAUUUAGUCUAUAUAUCUGAGGGCAACUUGAAAUAUCACCAGGAACAUUUCAUCAUGAAAAUUCUGACAUUUCUAGUAAUGUGGAACCCCAUGGAAAACCUCUGUGAAGCUUAUAUAUGUAAGUUCCACUUGACAAUCAAAUCGGAGCCUGGAUGAGGAAUAACUAGGUCAUUGGAGAAUGGAAAGGAAGGAUGUAAACUCCAGGUGAGAAGCUAAUGAACAAACACUCUUGUAAGCCGCUGGUGAGUGAAAUGGACUCAUCAAACAGAACUGAGCAACCAUUCCAAGUGCAUGUUUUCUGGAACUCUGAGCAGUGCAUGGGAGUGGCCUGCUUGGAAAAUGGCUUGAGAGGAUUUAUGGGCUAUGAAACAACUGACACUAUUAUGAAA